rfam:Clostridium lentocellum DSM 5427, complete genome.
UGAUAAAUGAAUACUGUGCCGCAGACAGUAGGUGUCCCACAGGGACAUAACGUAUAACAACCUACCGAGGUCUUUAACAUAAGGACGGAAGUGUGUCGUUUUGCCUGCGGAGAUGUGCAAGACGAUUUUUUUAUGCAUUA